UUGGACCUGAUAUCAGGC
rnacentral:rRNA from 17 species